AAAGCGUGCGCAGGCGGUUAUAUAAGACAGAUGUGAAAUCCCCGGGCUCAACCUGGGAACUGCAUUUGUGACUGUAUAGCUGGAGUGCGGCAGAAGGGGAUGGAAUUCCGCGUGUAGCAGUGAAAUGCGUAGAUAUGCGGAGGAACACCGAUGGCGAAGGCAAUCCCCUGGGCCUGCACUGACGCUCAUGCACGAAAGCGUGGGGAGCAAACAGGAUUAGAUACCCUGGU
rnacentral:rRNA from 1 species